rnacentral:rRNA from 1 species
AUUGAACGCUGGCGGCAUGCCUUACACAUGCAAGUCGAACGGUAACGCGGGGCAACCUGGCGACGAGUGACGAACGGGUGAGUAAUGUAUCGGAACGUGCCCAGUUGUGGGGGAUAACUGCUCGAAAGAGCAGCCAAUACCGCAUACGACCUGAGGGUGAAAGCGGGGGAUCGCAAGACCUCGCGCAAUUGGAGCGGCCGAUAUCAGAUUAGGUAGUUGGUGAGGUAAAGGCUCACCAAGCCGACGAUCUGUAGCUGGUCUGAGAGGACGACCAGCCACACUGGGACUGAGACACGGCCCAGACUCCUACGGGAGGCAGCGGUGGGGAAUUUUGGACAAUGGACGCAAGACUGAUCCAGCCAUGCCGCGUGCGGGAAGAAGGCCUUCGGGUUGUAAACCGCUUUUGUCAGGGAAGAAACGCUCUGGGUUAAUACCUCGGGGUAAUGACGGUACCUGAAGAAUAAGCACCGGCUAACUACGUGCCAGCAGCCGCGGUAAAAC